rnacentral:lncRNA from 1 species
GAACCGAUUUCGGCUCCGCGUCCAGGAGCAGGCCCUACGUAGGGCCGGGGGAAUUCAGCCGGCAAAAAUGAGACGUCAACUAAGCGCCGUUUCAGUCCCAGAGCCAGGUCGUCCAUGGGGGUUUUCAAGCGUUUUCUCGAUGACUGAUUUUUCUAGAAGCGAAUGGAUUUUAUUCUCCCAGGUGUAAAGGCUACCUCCUGCUUCACACCCGGGUAACAUAAAAGACAGCGCUGGGACCGAAACUCGGGUCUCCUGGGUCCUGGUUGGCUGGAGAGAGGGGCAAUGAACGUCCCGAAAAGAAUUCUGUCUUUUCUCAAUAUCUGGGAGGACUCAUAACAGGGUAGAUAAUCAGGAUGGAUGUUUGGCAGGUGGGAAUCUUUGAGACGGUCUGUGCACACAAUUUUAACUCUACUUUUGCCAGUUUGGAGGACAUGAAAUUCCUGAUGAGUGUAUGUUAAAAGGGAAUAGAGAAGGUAAUAUACACAACGUUCUAAAAUAAUUGCUUUUCGUGGAGGCAAAGUGGCUAAGCAGUCCAAAGCGCUGGAUGAAGGCUCUAAUCUCUUGGGGUGUGGAGGUUCUAGCCUGUUUAGCCACAGAAGUCAUGAAACCACUAUGUGGUAUUUGUUAAAUAAUGAGUUUUGAUACUUAAAAUAAAAUGGAAUUAUUGGAGUGAAUUUUGUUUGGUUCUGUUGAAUUUGUUAUUCUUACACACACUAGCCAGAUUCUACUUAUUUGUGGGCGGCAAGCCACCCAGGCACCGAGGCAAGAGACAGAGGACACGAGCUGUUCCAGUAUAAUAAAAUAUAAAACAAGAAUAGUUAUACCAAAUAUAGAUCUUAGAUAUGAUUAUAUAUGAAAAUCAUUAAUCAUUAGUUUGUAGCAAUUACUUUUUAUUCCAAUAUUAUAAUAAUCCUCGCUCUAUAAUCAUAGCCUAGGAAAAACCAGGCCUUACAGAGAUAGGAGUUGAGGGAACAUAGUGAGGUGUGACCAGAAGACAAGAGUGCGAGCCUUCUGUUAUGCCCGGACAGGGCCAGCAGAAGGGCUCCUUGGUCUAGCGGUAACGCCAGCGUCUGGGAAGACGCCCGUUGCCGAGCGGACGGUGGUCUAGCAGAAGCCUCAGUGUCAAGAAAAAACACCGGCUGCUUAGCAGACCGGAAAAGGGAGUCUCCCUCUCCCCGGGGGAGUUUAGAGAAGACUCUGCUCUUCCACUUCUUGUGGAGGGCCUGACAUUAGUCAGGCUCGCCCGCAGUUAUCCGGAGGCCUAACCGUCUCCCUGUGAUGCUGUGCUUCAGUGGUCACACUCCUAGUCCGCCUUCAUGUUCCAUCCUGUACACCUGGCUCUGCCUUC